GAUGAACGCUAGCUACAGGCUUAACACAUGCAAGUCGAGGGGUAACGAGAGGAAAGCUUGCUUUCCUUGUCGACGACCGGCGCACGGGUGAGUAACGCGUAUCCAACCUGCCCCCAACUAAGGAAUAACCUUGCGAAAGUAAGACUAAUACCUUAUAAUUUCCUCAGAUGUCAUCUGACGAGGAAUAAAGAUUUAUCGGUUGUGGAUGGGGAUGCGUCUGAUUAGCUUGUUGGCGGGGUAACGGCCCACCAAGGCAACGAUCAGUAGGGGUUCUGGGGGGAAGGUCCCCACAGUGGAACUGAGACACGGUCCAAACUCCUACGGGAGGCAGCAGUGAGGAAUAUUGGUCAAGGGGCGGAAGCCUGAACCAGCCAAGUAGCGUGCAGGAUGACGGCGCUAUGGGUUGUAAACUGCUUUCAUACAGGAAUAAAGUUAGCCACGUGUGGUUAUUUGUAGGUACUGUAUGAAUAAGGACCGGCUAAUUCCGUGCCAGCAGCCGCAGUAA
rnacentral:rRNA from 1 species